CUCACAAUUUAGUUCUUUGGAUGUGAAUGCUCUUAGCUCCAUCUUCUCUCUUUCUCAUGUAUAUUGAACAGCUCCAUCUUUUCUCUCUUUCUCAGAACACCACCGAUUUGAAGAUUAAAUCUGGGAGAUAUGACGUCGAAUAAGUUCGUUCUUCCGAUUCAACAACCAUCAGUUUAUAGGGAAUCAAGUCUGCAAAGAUCGGUGGCUAUGGAGAAGAGUUCCCGGCUGUAGAUGGUGAUUGAGGUAGGUUCCGAUAGACAAACUGAGGUUGCAGAGUACACCAGCAGUUAACUACUCUGAGGAUCAUUGUCAAAACUGGGUAAAGAUGGUGAUGACUUAAGUUUGUAAAUGACGCUUUGUUGAGUCACAAAAGCAACACAGAAAAGAGUCGGGGAUUGUGUGCUGCUUUCAGAAAGCAAGAAUACAAGAACACCAUAAAGCCCCCACACAUAUGUAAUGAUGUUUGUUGAUUGUUGAAUGCUAUGUGUUUGUUGAUGCUAUACUUCGAUUUAUGUUUUAUUUUACUAGACGAUAUCUUCGGAGCAAAUUUAAUAUUGUGAUCUAUGAUUUUCAUUUCAAGUUUGGUACCGGUUAUAAGAAGUAUUUUGUAUGGUGCUAUUUGAAGUAAAAAUUUAAUAUUUCUGCAUGAUUGAAGUAAAAAUCGCUAGGUGCUAUUUGUAGAAAGGUGUGUACUGUAUGGGGUAUAGCCCGAGUUGACCCAUUUACCCGUAAACCGAUCAAAAUUCCCAGCUCUUGUUAAAUACUUCUGGAUAAGUGUAUUGAGAUUUUUUUGGUUACUGUCGUUUGAUAAAUGACGUGGCUCUUUCUUAAACCAGGGAAGGGUUUCGGUCCAGGUGCACAUAUGCAUGGAACCGAUGAGGUUUGGUAUGACGAUGCGUCACAGGAAGCCAUUGAAAACUGGCCCGAUAGGCCUUCUGACCCGCCAAGAAUGCUGCAUUUGGGCGCUUUUGGGUGGGUUAACACGCUUCACCCAUCCGACGAUCAUAAUAUUUACAGCUUGGAACUCCGAGAACUUUUAAGCUGGUAACAUCUUCCUAAGGAGGGCCUUUGAAUUUGUCAAACACUUUUGACAUCUGAUUAUUACAAUUUCAGACAAUAAAUAACAUCUAAACACUAUUUUUUGAGUAAAAUGCCAAUUUCGUUCCUGAGAUUUGGCCAGUUUUACGACUUUUCUCUCGAGCGGUUAUUACCGGUUAUGGUUUCGGUUAAUAACGGGUUCGAGUCUUAAGCCACUCCCGAGUUUUCUAUUGCAUUGCGGUUACUCCGGCUCUUAUGAGUGCGGAGGCUGCAACGGUAGUCAUGUGGCUGUUGGCUGGAAAUUUUCUCGGGGAGCGCUUGGUCACUUUCGGAUGCCUCGCCCGAGGGUGACUAAGGACCCAUGGAUGUGUCACUUCGGAUGCAUGUGUGUGCGAAGACCUCUCGCCUCUUGGAGUUAGUAGCCGUUCAAAAAAAUAUGAUACAAAAUAUUGAAAAUAGUUUAAAAGGAGAUUAAUGUUCAUUGACUGAAAAAAGUUCAUUUUCCAUUUAAAUUUCACAAUUAAAGAUUUACUGAGAUUGGACGACAUGAAUUCCUAUCAUUAAAAAUAAUAUGUUGCUAGCUAAAUCUACUUUUUUAAAUGUUUCUUGUGUGUUUAUUGUGGAACUGUCUCUUGAAAUAACUAUAGUGAUUAUUCAUGUAUGAAUUGAAUUUUACUUGUCUGAAAAACUUUCUUAAAUGUGUUAAUCUUAUGAUCUUUAUAGUUUAUCUUGCUGAAUUUUAGGACAUAUGAUAUGGAUAAUAAAGCAAUUGGAGAAAUAGGGUCUUUGGUUUUCAUAAAGCAAGGUGCUAAAGUUGUGGGCAUUACGGUUGUUGGCAGCAGCUCUGGCCAGCUUGCAAACCAUUAUAGAGACGGAACCAGGGCCCACAUGAAGGCAUUCAGGUCCCGCUUACUAGCAUAUUACCGCAAGUACAAGUAGAAGCUAUUCUUUGGGGCCUCGUAACCGCAUUAGGAAAGCUCCCUCCAUAUUGUAUUCAAGAGCAGCGAGUCUCUCAGGCGAGAUAGUAGAUGCUGCAGAAGAAGUAAAGAACUAGAUGGAUCUUCAUCAGAUAAUCAUGGAUUUGCAUCAAUCUUAAAUCGUUUAAAACGUUGGUUCCUGUCACAUGCACAAUAUUUGAGUUUUUUUUCACAAUUUUGGUGCUUGCUUUGGUGCCAAAUCCUCUAUUUGACCUUACUCGCAUAAUGUGCGGGCAAUUUGGAAUUCCAUUUUGGGAGUUUUUUUUCGCAACCCUUAUGGAGACGGAAUCAGGGCCCACAUGAAGGCAUUCAGGUCCCGCUUACUAGCAUGUUACCGCAAGUGAUGUCGGAAGCGCACCAACAAAGACUGCAGUGAAAAAGAUCAAGUAAUCCGCCAGCUAUCAUCACGGUUGAGUGGAAAAAGUUGUGUGAUAAACGAGUUAGUUAAGUAACACAGUCAAAGAAAGAGAACAGCAAAUUAAGAAGAUAUCAGAUUGCGCAGCCGGUGCGUUUGUGGUUGCGAACCGGUUUUCUGAGAUUAAAGACGGUUUAAAUAAAGCGCUGAUGCAGAAAGACGCGGAGCUUGAAUCAAGGUGAAAACAUGGGCGAAGCUAUUGAACACGUUUUGCACAAGCGAAAAGCUUGAGCUCGAACUACUUUACAAAGUUCAAGUUCAGUGUUACGAAGAUACGAAGCUAAUGAAGUUGUUCCAUGAAGUUGUGAGGUCUCUUUAUGACCAAGACGUUCUUGCUGAAGACACGAUACUUCAUUGGGUCGCUAAAGGAACCAACCCAAAACGAAGCUAUGUAUAUUUUAUAGUCUCACGCAAAAUUCAUUUGAACUCGAUCGAUAAGAAACAAGAAGUUAGAGAUCCUGAUUUUUACGGUGCAGGCAAAGCUUUGUGAAGGCGUUGGAGCCGUUUGUGAAGUGGCUGGAAGAGGCAGAAGAGGAGGAAUAGAUAUUUGUCCAUCUUUUCUCUUUAAUUCGAGUGUUUAAACUUUGAAAUUUUCUGUUAACUUUUAACCUUGUUUUUUUAACUGCUGUUAUUUGUCACAAAUUUUUAUGUUGCUGGAUUGAAUUUAAUAAUCUAUGUUUGUUAAGUUUGACGACUUC